GUACACUCCUACGGGAGGCAGCAGUGGGGAAUUUUGGACAAUGGGCGAAAGCCUGAUCCAGCAAUGCCGCGUGAGUGAAGAAGGCCUUCGGGUUGUAAAGCUCUUUUGUCAGGGAAGAAACGGUGAAAGCUAAUAUCUUUUGCUAAUGACGGUACCUGAAGAAUAAGCACCGGCUAACUACGUGCCAGCAGCCGCGGUAAUACGUAGGGUGCAAGCGUUAAUCGGAAUUACUGGGCGUAAAGCGUGCGCAGGCGGUUUUGUAAGUCUGAUGUGAAAUCCCCGGGCUCAACCUGGGAAUUGCAUUGGAGACUGCAAGGCUAGAAUCUGGCAGAGGGGGGUAGAAUUCCACGUGUAGCAGUGAAAUGCGUAGAUAUGUGGAGGAACACCGAUGGCGAAGGCAGCCCCCUGGGUCAAGAUUGACGCUCAUGCACGAAAGCGUGGGGAGCAAACAGGAUUAGAUACCCCGGUAGUCCC
rnacentral:rRNA from 1 species